UAGGGGACCGGGCUAGAGGGUGGAGGCCCGAGACCGAGCGGGGCGGAGAAGAGAAGGCGCCGCGGCCCAGCCCCUCCCCCGCGCUGCCGACCCGCCCCGGCAGCCUCUGUUCCCCGGACCGGCGCUGCGCCCGCCCUAGCGGCCAUGCCGGGGCCUCGCCGCCCCUGAGGGAGCCCUUCCCCGCCAGUGCCUGUCCUUCCCCUCCGGCCCGGGGUCGCCGCGGCUCGGUCUCCCGCCGGCGCCCCGUCCUUGCGGCCGCGCCGCCGCCCCCGUGUCGCUCUCCCCACCCAGUGCAGUGGCCGCCGCCUCUUCCGCCGCCGGGCUCCGGACCUCCGCACCGACAACAUGGAGGCCGUGAAAACCUUCAACAGCGAGGAUUGUGCCUCUACUCCUGCUUGUACAGACUGCUUUUCCAGCAGCAUGGACACAAGAAGCAUAUUAUAUUCCCUGAAUGACUACAAGCCACCCAUUUCUAAAGCAAAAAUGACCCAAAUUACUAAGGCAGCCAUUAAAGCUAUUAAGUUUUAUAAGCAUGUGGUACAGAGUGUUGAGAAAUUCAUUCAGAAAUGUAAACCAGAAUACAAGGUACCUGGGCUUUAUGUUAUUGACUCCAUUGUACGACAAUCUCGACAUCAGUUUGGUCAAGAAAAGGAUGUGUUUGCACCCAGGUUUAGUAAUAACAUCAUUAGCACCUUCCAGAAUUUAUAUCGUUGCCCUGGAGAUGACAAGAGUAAAAUAGUGAGGGUAUUAAACUUAUGGCAGAAGAAUAAUGUAUUUAAGAGUGAGAUUAUCCAACCUCUUUUGGAUAUGGCAGCAGGGAUUCCUCCUCCAGUCGUCACACCUGUUUUGGCCAGUACUACUGCUGCUAUGAGCAAUACCCCAGGAACUCCUGUGACACCUGUUACUCCAGCCAAUGUGGUUCAAGGUUUACCUGAUCCGUGGGUAUCUCAGAUAACAAAUACAGAUACACUUGCAGCUGUAGCUCAGAUCUUACAAAGUCCUCAAGGCCAACAGCUACAGCAGUUAAUACAGACUUUACAGAUACAGCAGCAGAAGCCUCAGCCUUCCAUCCUGCAAGCCCUGGAUGCUGGUCUUGUCGUUCAGCUCCAGGCUCUCACAGCACAGCUCACAGCAGCUGCUGCAGCAGCCAACACCCUUAAUCCCUUGGAACAGGGAGUGUCUUUUAACAAGAAGUUGAUGGAUAGAUUUGAUUUUGGGGAAGAUUCUGAGCAUAGUGAAGAACCCAAAAAGGAAAUUCCAACUUCUCAACUUUCUCAUGUUUCGGAAUCUGUGAACAAUUCCAUUUUUCAUCAGAUAGCAGAACAACUACAGCAGCAAAAUCUUGAGCAUCUCAGACAGCAACUCCUGGAACAGCAACAGCCUCAAAAGGCAACUCCUCAGGAUAGUCAAGAAGGAACAUUCGGGUCAGAGCAUUCUGCGUCACCAUCACAGGGGAGCAGUCAGCAGCAUUUCCUUGAACCUGAAGCAAAUUUGGAUGAUUCCAUAGAUAUUCAACAACAGGAUAUGGAUAUAGAUGAAGGGCAAGAUGGAGUGGAAGAGGAGGUCUUUGAACAAGAAGCAAAGAAAGUGGCAGUUCGCUCAAGAUCAAGAACACAUUCACGAUCUCGUUCAAGAUCACCAAGAAAACGAAGGUCUAGGUCACGAUCUGGUUCUCGAAAGCGUAAACACAGAAAGCGAUCACGCUCCCGCUCUAGAGAAAGAAAGAGGAAAUCAUCACGUUCAUACUCGAGUGAAAGAAGAGCUAGAGAAAGAGAGAAAGAACGACAGAAGAAGGGCUUGCCUCCAAUUAGAUCUAAAACAUUAAGUGUAUGUAGCACUACUCUGUGGGUUGGCCAAGUAGACAAGAAGGCAACACAGCAAGAUUUAACCAACCUGUUUGAAGAGUUUGGACAGAUUGAAUCCAUUAAUAUGAUUCCUCCCAGGGGCUGUGCUUACGUCUGCAUGGUUCAUCGACAAGAUGCGUUUCGUGCUCUUCAGAAACUUAGUUCUGGAUCAUAUAAAAUUGGGUCCAAGGUCAUUAAGAUUGCUUGGGCUUUAAACAAAGGUGUAAAAACAGAAUACAAACAAUUCUGGGAUGUGGAUCUUGGAGUUACAUAUAUACCAUGGGAAAAGGUUAAAGUGGAUGACUUGGAAGGUUUUGCAGAAGGAGGCAUGAUUGAUCAGGAAACUGUAAAUACUGAGUGGGAAACUGUGAAAAGCUCAGAACCUGUUAAAGAGACGGUCCAGACAACUCAGAGCCCAACUCCAAUUGAAAAGGAGACCGUGGUCACAACCCAGGCAGAGGUUUUCCCUCCACCUGUUGCUAUGUUACAGAUUCCAGUAGCUCCAGCAGUGCCUACAGUUAGUUUAGUCCCACCAGCAUUUCCUGUGUCAAUGCCAGUUCCUCCUCCUGGAUUCAGUCCAAUUCCUCCACCUCCUUUUCUCCGAGCAAGUUUUAACCCUUCACAACCACCUCCUGGUUUCAUGCCACCUCCAGUUCCCCCACCUGUGGUACCACCGCCUACUAUUCCACCAGUAGUACCAACAUCUUUAGUGCAGCCACCAUUAGCCAUGACUCCAGAAGCUGUGAAAGAUGUUGGAUUUGGUGGCCUUGUUUUACCAGGUGGUGCUGUUGCCAGUGGUCUUGCUACUUCUACUCUGCCAGCUGGAAGUGUUUUUAACCCUCCAACUAAACAAGCAGAGCCUGAAGAGAAAGUACCUCAUCUUCUAGACCACCAGAUUUCUUCUGGUGAAAACACCAGAUCAGUGAUUCCAAAUGAUAUUUCGACUGGCUCUGCAAUUCUAGGAGGACAGCCGCCAAAUGUGACGAGCAGCUCUGGAAUUCUGGGAGUCCAGAGACCAAAUGUAUCAAGUAAUAAUGAAAUUCUUGGAGUCCGGCCAUCUAAUGUUUCCAGUAGUUCUGGGAUUAUUGGAGCCCAGCCACCAAAUAUUCUGAAUAACUCUGGAAUUUUGGGAAUACAGCCACCAAGUGUGUCAACUAGUUCUGGACUUCUGGGAGUACUGCCCCCGAAUAUACCUAACAAUUCUGGACUUAUAGGAGUACAGCCACCCAGUGUUCCAAAUACUUCUGGACUUUUGGGAACACAGCCACCAGCUGGGCCUCAAAACUUACCCCCUUUAAAUCUUCCUAAUCAAAGGAUGCCUGCAAUGCCAAUGUUAGACAUUCGUCCAGCACUGAUACCACAGACACCUGGACCAAGAUUCCCUUUAAUACAGCCUGGAAUUCCACCCCAAAGGGGGCUCCCUCCCCCAUCGGUACUUGAUUCAGCUCUUCAUCCACCACCCCGUGGUCCUUUUCCUCCUGGAGAUAUUUUUAGUCAGCCUGAAAGACCUUUUCUAAUUCCUGGAAGACAAAGUAUAGACAAUGUUACUAAUCCAGAAAAAAGGAUACCACUUGGAAAUGAUAACAUUCAACAGGAAGGAGAUAGAGAUUACCGGUUUCCUCCCAUAGAAACCAGGGAAACCAUUAGUAGACCUCCCCCAGUGGAUGUUAGGGAUGUGGUUGGACGGCCUGUAGAUCCAAGAGAAGGCCCUGGAAGGCCUCCAUUAGAUGGUAGAGAUCACUUUGGAAGACCUCCUGUAGAUAUUAGAGAGAAUCUUGUGAGGCCAGGCAUAGAUCAUCUUGGUCGAAGAGACCACUUUGGCUUUAAUCCAGAGAAGCCCUGGGGGCCUAGAGAUUUUGAUGAAAGAGAGCAUCGGGUUCUGCCUGUCUAUGGUGGUCCAAAAGGCUUACAUGAAGAAAGAGGUAGAUUUCGGUCUGGAAACUAUCGCUUUGACCCUAGAAGUGGUCCUUGGAACAGAGGAUUUGGACAAGAAGUUCACAGAGAUUUUGAUGACCGCAGAAGACCCUGGGAGAGGCAGAGGGAUAGGGAUGACAGAGAUUUUGAUUUCUGCAGAGAAAUUAAUGGGAAUCGUCUUGGACGAGAUAGAAUUCAGAACACCUGGGUCCCCCCUCCUCAUGCUCGGGUUUUUGAGUUUUUUGAAGGGGCCACUUCUCAACGAAAAGGUGAUAAUGUGCCUCAGGUUAAUGGUGAAAAUACCGAGAGACAUGCUCAGCCACCACCUUUACCAGCACAGAGUGAUCCUGAACUUUAUGAAAAACUGACAUCGUCCAGUGAAAUAAACAAGGAGAAGAGUGACACAGUUGCUGAUAUAGAAAGUGAACCAGUGGUAGAAAGCACAGAAACUGAGGGGACAUAACCAUCACUCAGUAGAAUGACUCAGACGAUAACAGAGCUUCUAAGUCCAGCAGAACAUGAAGUCUUUCCUCUUCGUCUUCCUGGUUCGCAUGUAAGAAGGAGAGAACUGUGUCAUGAGGUUCAACUAUUGUUCAUGUCACACAAUUUGACUGGACUUCUAAUUAAGGUUUACAGGUGAGUCAGCAUAAAAGCUAUGCGAACUUCUCUCCCACUCAGAGAAGCUGUGGUCGGACCCUGCUCUUGUUCUGUAUGAAGACACCAUGAGUGAGUGUUGGAAGCUCCCUCCCCCAGCCCCAGAGGGGCAUCCCAGCCACUCCUCCUCCUCAGUUUAAAAAGAUCCUUCUGGACUUCCCCAUCACCGAGAAACUCAUCUGUUGUGCUUACUAAAUUAAAACAACUCAAAGAAGUGGUUUUACUUUACUGUUGGCAUAAAGUAACGCACAAGGAACUUGCAGUGAGAGGUCCAUGGUGAACUACCCACCUUCCCCGGGACUGUGAGAGGGAGGGGGUGUCUCCUGUCCGCCGGGCAGCCAGAAGCAUCUUCCUCAGAAGGUUGGCAGAAACGUGAACUAAUAAUUACUUCAGAAGGCAAACUGUUGUGUCUGUGAGGAGGAAAUGGUGCCGCUGGAACAGGAUGUCGAGCCGGGCCUCCCCGGGCCUGGAACCCCUGGGCAGGCAGCUAGGAGCCCACUCAAGGCCUCCUUGGGGCUCAGGAUUACCCUGGCUUCCUGUUUCUGAUUUCAGACUCUUCAGAAAAUUCCCUGUGAAAUGGAAAUCCUGACUGGUCCUUUCUGGUGCAUUCUUACUACGUGAGGAGACAGCCGACCAGCAAGAGACAGUGAGGAGGAGUUAUCAACCACCAGCUUUUGAUGAAAGAGGAGAAGAGGAGAAAGGAAGAUCUUCCAAAUCCAGUUAUGUCAAACAUGGUCACAGAAGAAUCUUAUGGGACAGAUAGAAAAAAAAAAAUAGAGAAGAUUCCUGCCCCAUGAGGGCAAAGCAUCCCGUUGCCACAUCACUGAACAAAGCUUUGCAAGGUGUGUGUGCACAGCAGGAGCUGCACACAGCUCGGCAGAGGACAGAGAUGAGCCACUCGUGGAGCAGAGCCGGGGUGCCUGUGAUGUUCCAAGUCCAGAGCCGGUUACCAGGACACCCCCUCACUGCCCCUCCCCUACCAAAGUGUGCUGUCUAGUUAGGGAAGGGGCACUGGGGAAGGAGCGAUCGUCCUGAUGCUCUGGAAGCACAGAGCAGCUUCCACCCAGGCAGACGCCACUGUGGCCGGGUCCAGGCUGUUGCUGCAACGGUUUGAGCAGAACAGAUGGAAAUGGUGGUCGAGACAGGAGAGGUUAGGAAAUGCACUAGGAGGUGACAAGGCGAAGACUGGAGACCAAAUGGUUGUGGGAAUGAAGGGCAGGAGAGGUCAAAGGCGGCUCCCAGUGGCUUGGGACACAGGGAUGUGGCUGACUGAGGUAGGAGGUGGGCUUGAGGAGGAGAAGGUCUGAGGAGGCACCAUGAUGGCAAGAUGGAUGUGGCCAGAGACCGCCCUCCAGGGCGGGGGGAGUCAGGCUAGUGCAGAAUCAUUCUCUCUGGACUUUUUUUUUUUUGUCUUCCCCCACGAGUAAGUGUUUUAGUACUGAUGAAUCUGUGUCAGAUUGGAAAUGAGAUAGGAACAAAAAUGUAACUUUCUGUGUGGGUGGCAUGUGGGAAAGAGGCUGGGGAGCAGUGGGGGCUCUGAGACUUAGUGCUUGUUCGUUGGCUUAUUUCCAGCAGGAGUUGGUAGACGGAUGAGCUAACGGCAGGUCUUCACCACUGCCCAUCAAUCACCCCUCUGUUCCCCUUGCCCUUGGGACAAUGCCGGGGAGACACUAGCGUUCCUCCAGUACUUUCUCAGGACGGCUGGUUUCUCAUUACCUCAUCGCAGAGAAGAGAAGAUGGGUUUCUCAACCACUUCCUUCUGCAGUUGGUAAAACUGGAAUGCCCUCAGGUUUCUGUGCGAGCAGGUAGCUACAGGAGCCCUGAUGGUAAAACAGAGUCAUCCAGGGUGGGUGCAUCUCUCAGUUACAUUCUGGGUCCAGGUGGGACUCGGCGCCGAUGAAUAAUAUCCUCUUGUUGUAGAAAAUUGUCCUUGGACAAAGACAUUUUCAAAAACACAUGACAAAUGGUGUCCAUCUAUUUCAAAGGACCCAAGGUUGCUUUAUAAAUGCUCUUGUGGCCUCGCGGGCUAGGAGUAUAUAUUUGCAGAUGAUAAAGACAGUCUUUGAGGCGAGAGGGAAACAGAGCAGCCCUGCACCCAGCUUCUGCUUCGUCUCCUCCUCUCAGGGCUGUGUAUGUAAAACCAGCUUGUCUGCACCGGGGAAUUCCACCAGGGAACGUGAGUUUGCUGAGACUUUCAUUCCAACGACAUGGAAUAAUAAUAAAAUAUGCAAACAGAGUUUCCCAUCCCUUCUUGGGAGAGAAGGACGGAGGUGGGGGAGAGGAAUGAAGCUGAUUAUUCCAGAGGCAUAAAGAGUUGACAACAACUCUGGUUUUUUCUUUUUUCUUUUCGUUUAAAAAAUGGUAAAACAUAAAUAUUUUUAAAACCCUUUACACAAUAGCAGGGAAAAAUUGUGGGCAGAAAGUUUUUUUUAAUUGAAGUACAGUUACAGUAUGUCAGUUUCUGGAGUACAGCACAGUGUCCCAGUCACACAUAUACAUACAUACACCAUUUUUCAUUAAAGGUUACUACAAGAUAUUGAAUGUAGUUCCCUGUGCUAUACAGAAAAAAUUUGUUUUUUAAUCUAUUUUUAUAUAUAGUAGUUAAUAUCUACAAAUCUCCAACUCCCACAUUUAUCCCUCCUACCCCCUUUCCCCCUGGUAACCAUAGAUUGUUUAUUAUGUCUGCAUGGAAAGAUUUCAUUAAUCCUGUAACUUUGGGGAACCACUGCAGAUGUUGAUGGUAGAUUUAAAAUCUAGAAGAGAAAAUUUCAAUGUCAAAAUGAUUUAAAAAAAAUGUUUAUGGAGACCUGUUCUUUACAGUGUAAAGAUACAAAUCUCACCUCUUAUAGAAAGGUUAUAUAUAGUCCUAUAGAAAACUACGUGUACUUUAAAAGCCUAGAGUGUGAAUUUUAAAGUGUGUGGCUCAUUUAAACUUUCUAAUGAGAAAGUUUGGGUGAAAAAAAUGAACAGUAGCCACAAGGUCAAGUUAUUAUUGCUCUAACUUAAGACAAUAGAUUUACUGAUAUAUCUGUUAAUUCAGUGAGUAUUUCUAUUAUGUGCUAGACACAAAGUUUAAAAAAGCAGAUUUUUUUCUGUGUGACACUUUCUCCAUUUCACUAAAGUUUGUAAAGUCCUUUUUAAAAAUUGCAAUAAUAUAGGGCUGUUAAAAGAAUCAAGUAAGUCUACUUGUAUUACAUCAAAUAUAUUUAUUCCAUAUAUAUAUAAAUACAUGAUAUAUAUGACACAUUUGAUGAAUACUUACUAAAAUUGUUAUAGCAUACCCUAAGACUUUCUUUUCUUUUCUCUUACAAUACAUUGGACUCAGAAGAAAUUGGCAAGCAUAUAAAUCUGAGCUCAAGGUCAGGUUUUAGCUCAUUUAAUACCCCAGCUUUGAAACUGAAACCCACAAAUUACACAUCAUCACCAAAUUAUAACUUUUAAAAAGAGGCACAUAACGGUUCGUGGGACUUCCUCACACUACACACCAGCACACCUACACAGAUUUCACUUUCGAGGAGAAAGCUGCUCCUUCUAAUAUCCUGGAGGGAAUUUGUUCCCUAGGUAGUUCGAUUUCAAAAUUCACUUCCCGUGUAACCAUCUUUUCUAUACACCAGAUGGCUCCAUGCCAACAACCCUCAACUUCAGAUGUGGCUUAAAUUGUCUUUGUCCACGAGCAGAAGUUGAUCUGUUUUCCUCCCUUCUGACCCACUUAGAACUGUGACAUCCAAAGCCCAAACCCCAAACCCCAGUCCUUUCAAUAAUACUAAUAAGCAGCCAGUUAGGAAGCCUGUGCUGGUGACAGCAGUGCUCAGCCAACAUCGUGAACAGGGUUGGGAGGAAGUGCGAGGAAUUCAGGGAGAGUCCAACCAGAGAAACUGCGACCCAAUUCCAAGUCCAAGUUUAAUGGGACGAGGGAAUUGAAAAAGUGGAGCUCAGGGCCAUAAAGGGAAAUGAGAGAAAAGGCAUGCUCAUAUUUUGUAAGUUUUGCAUUUCACAAAAAGUUUAUGGGUUCAACAAACACAUUUCCUAGGUUGAGGGCUCCAGCGAAAAUGGAUGCCGGCCAUGUAACCAGCUGGCAAGCAAGAACUGACUGGACAUCUUUAAGGUAUAUAAGCAUUAUACUAGGCACUUUAUUUUGAUACAGAAAAUAUUAACUUUUACAUUUUCUGAUAUGUUUAUCAGACUAACUUUGUUUAUAAAUUAUAACAAAUAAAACAAACUUAACAUAAGUUUUAUCAACUUAGAACCAUCAAUGUCAUGGGCAUUUUUUUUUAAGGCUGUAUCUUUUGAGGGUGAAGUCCAAGGUUAAAAGUCUUUCACUGGGUCUUGGAGGGUGUCUGCAUCUGGGUUACACAGGAGCCAGACCAGCAGAUUGGCAACCUGGGCUGAUCCACCCAAAACUCGUACACAAAUAUAAGAGUAGCAGGCUUUCCAGGGAGCACUGAACACCUCUAUCUCCUCUUCGGAGAUGCCCAGAGAUGCUUCCCAGCUCAGGGAUCGAGUCGAGGCAUCAGCUCUGGCUAAGAGAGAUUCUCUAUGGGAUUAAACCAGGUUUUUAGAUCUGGAAUCUUGAGCAAUCUUCUAAACAAACAUAGACCUUUUAUCAUGGGGUAGUAAUCCUACCAGGCGACCUUUUGUCUUUCAUUUUUCUUUCAAGGAUUUAUCAGUUAGACUCUAGUAACUUGUCAGCGGAAAGGAAAACUGAUCAAAUGAAUCCAAGAGAUAGAACAAUCUGUCACCCGUGUGAGCAGGUGAACGCCCCCCCGCCCCACCCCACCUGGCAACGACACAUCACACACACACAUGUGACUGGUUUGAAGGCAGUGCAGGGUGGAUCUCGAUUUUGGGGUUCAACGCAGCUUUUCGGAAUUGUUAUCAGUCCCACCGCCUUCUUUCUUUCAGGAGUUUGAAAACGCCAUGAAGUGACACGUGUGGGCUCCUCAACAGCUGAAAGACCCUUUUGUGUUCAGCUAAGUGACCUUCAGAAAGGAGAGGUGCAGCCUUCCUCUGGACAUCUCCACUUCUCCCAAGUUAGCCUGGCCUGCUGGUGAGCUGCCUGCCUGUGCCGGGAGCCGCGUGGUCCCUGCCUGUCUCCUGAAUCUCGGGGCGCUGGGAGGGAGGCUGCCGAGCCUGCGAACGUCCGGAGCGGGAAGUCACAGGGAAGCACUUAGUGGGAGGAACCAUCGCUGGACUCCUCGUGCUCACCCACAAACAGGCUGUAAAAGUGAAUUUGAGCUCUGUGGAGUGGCAUUGCCACUGCGUGUGUGUGUGUGUGUGUGUGUGUGUGUAAUGUCACUUCUGUGACCGGCGGCGCCCAGGCGGAGACAGAGUUUACUUGGCAAAAAGAUUCUCUUCCUUCAGGUACUGGGAAAGAGUGAAAAGAGAGCAAAAAAACCAACUUCCAAAACAAGCAAACAAAACAAAACCCUCCAAAGCUAGAAAGGCAGCUUAAGAAGGCACCUUUCGACGUAGGACACAGGGCAAGGAUGACUUGUUUGUUUGUUUGUUUUUUUAAGGAUGACUUGUUUGUUGAAACCAUCGACUCAGUGUCCUGCUAACAGAAAGUCCAAGAAAAUACUGCCCAGGACUAGAAAGAUUGAGAAGUGGGCUGAAUCCUUACUUCAAGGAGUCUGAGUAAUUGAAGUAGGAAGAUUCUGCAAGAGACUAUGACCAAAUGGUUAUUUCUCAGGAGUGGGGUGACAGUUAAUAUGAUUUUUUAACUUUUUAGGAAAUAAUAGGGUGCUGUAGUUGAAGACGUUUGGUGGCUGUGAAGUGAGUGGAUGGUGAGGACAGUGGGGCUGCCUUUUUAAAAUCAGGUUGUUCUUGUCUUUACCAGGGGUGGACAUUUGAAUUCAUCUUUGGGAGUAGAUUUGCUUUAAUUGCACCUUGGAUUCUUCUACAGGAAAGCUGACUCCUGCUUUAUAACGAAGUUGACCCCGCAUAACUUCCCCAUAACUUCCCCAUCGCCCUGAGCGCCCUGGCUUUUCCCUCUGGGGUUUUCUUUGCCGAUCUGACCCCACCUGGUGAGAGUUCUGUCUCCUUCCAGUCUUCCCCGCAGGCGUUUCAGCCAGGCCCAGGGCUAGACUUUAUUUCUCCGCACCACUUACGUCUCAGUGCACAUCUCCAGGUCCAAACUCUGUUCUGAAUGCUAGUCCUGUAUAUUCUCCGCAUACCCUUCCCAAAUAUACCCUCCAGUCUCUCCUCCCCACCCCCACUCAGCUCAGCUGGGGCUUAAAACCUUUCAGAGGGUUCUCAUUGUUCUAAGGAUAAAAUCCAGAAUUCUUAACAUGCCUACAAGAGCAUGCAUGACUGCUUCUUGGCAUCUUUGGCCUCAUUCCCUGUUGCUCUGUCCUUACUCCCUUCCCUUCGGAUGGACCCAGCUCCGUCCACAUCAGAGCUUCAAAGUCACCACUCCCCUUACUGAGAAUGAUCCAACUCAAGCCAGCCUUCAGAGCACAGCUAAAAUGCUGCUUUCUCCAGUAAGCCCUGUCUGAUCCCUUGGAGCUGGGUUCACUCUCUUUCUUACAUGCUGCACAUCUUUAGCAGAGACAUAAAAAGGACUAUUUGUGAAAUUUGUUGACUACCUAUCACCCUCCCUCCGACUGUAACAAUUACGCAGAUUAUAUCCCUGCUGCCCCCGACAGUGCCAGGUGCGGAGCGAAGUCUCCGUGAACAGAUGGGUGAGCGAAUGAGUUAAGGUUUCCAGCACUCAGUUUCUCUUUCUGACUUGGUGUGAAGGUUCAUCUUUACUGUAGACCAAGAUGCACCUCUGCAGAUGAUUUUUUAUCUAAUAGAGUGGGACUAAGACUGAGGGUGUGGAGAAGCUUUUUCUCUCUCUCUCUCAUAGGCCCUGAUGGCGUUGCAGCCUGGACUCUGGUGGCGGGGUGGGGGACAUGCUGGUUCCCUGGAUGGGGCUUGGGCGAAGGAGAGAGAGGCCCUGGGUGGCUUCAUGUCUUUGGGACUAUUAUUUGUUUUUCACUUUUUUUCUUUACCCCUUCUGUAAUUCCCUUCUGUUUCCCCAAGACUUCUGUUAAAUUCUGUGACCCUCCCCUUGGGCAUAGCUCUGCUGAGAAACUAGGCAAGGAAGACACCGUGCCUUCCCCUGGAGGCAAAGCUGUAGGAGGAAAAGCUAAGAGACAACUUGCAGCAGGGGGCGUGGGAGUCAGAGCACAAGCCAGCCAAGGGAAGAAGGGCCAGCAGGGCGAUUGGUGGAAAUGAUAGGAUUCGUCUGGAAUGUGCAGGCAUCUUUUGGGAGGGGAAACCGGACUAUGCCCAGACUCUCUGAGGUUACACAGUGUGCCAGUCACUGCCUCAUCGCCUGUCAGCUCCAAAUUCAUCCUUUUUGCCUUCUCUGGAAAGAGGGAUCUGGGCCUUUCAUAUAAUUUCCUUUGCCAGCUGGCUUGUUAAACUUCAUCAGCACCGGGUGUGGGGGAGGCAUGGCAGGAGGACGGACUUCUGCCUGCCGGUUGCCCUUCUCUUGCUUGCUGCCUCCUGCAUUUGGGGCAGUUUCUCCUGCACUAGGAUCCUGCAGUGCAGGGCAGCCAGUAGCGGCCCCCAGCUUUUUCUGGUAUCUCGCUGUUCGGGUGGUUUUGCAAUGAGGUGCUUCCAUGAGACACCUCCCUGUGAACAGCUUUCCCCCACCCUAGAAGGUAGAUUAUCAGCAAAUUUCAGACAGUUGAUUUCCAGCAAGUUCCACUGGCAUGAUACCACAGUGACUUCUCUGCCUCUUAGUGAGCCACAGCCAUGCCCUCCCCAGUAGGGUCUGGGUCUCAGCCUGGGGUAGGGCAAGGCUCAUCCCCAGGUGCUCGCUCUCAGCCCCAGGGUAGUGGCUGCUUUUAAAGAUUUUAUAUCUGCUUUUCCUGUUUUCUUUUGAGUUCUCUUUACUUCUUGUCAAUCCCUCAUUGCUCCAGAUUCUGUUAUAGUUAAUGGUUCUUUUUUUUUUAAAUUUUAUUUUUUAUUAAAGUAUAGUUGAUUUACAAUGUGAGUUUCAGGUGUACAGCAAAGCGAUUCAGUUUCCAUUACAGCUUAUUACAAGAAACUGAAUAUAGUUCCUUGUGCUACACAGUAAGUCCUUGUUGUUUAUCUAUUUCAUAUAUAAUAAUGUGUGUCUGUUAAUCUCCAACCCCUAAUUUAUUCUUCCCCUCCCUUUCCCCUUUGGUAACCAUAGUUUGUUUUCUAUGUCCAUGAGUCUAUUUGUUUGCAAAUAAAAUUUCUAUUUUUUUAAGAUUCCACAUAUAAGUGAUAUCAUAUGAUAUUUAUCUUUCUGUCUGACUUCACUUAAUAUGCUAAUCUCUAGGUCCAUCCAUGUUGCUGCAAAUGGCAUUAUUUCAUUCUUUGUUGUGGCUGAGGAAUAUUCCAUUGUGUAUAUAUACCACAACUUCUUUAUCCAGUCACCUGUAAAUGGGCAUUCAGGUUGUUUCCAUGUCUUGGCUAUUGUAAAUAGUGCUGCUAUGAAUGUUGGGGCACAUGUGUCUUUUUGAGUUAUUGUUUUCUCUGAAUAGUUCUUUAUAUUAAACAUUUACUGUUUAA